AAAAAAAAAAAAAAAAAAGUACCAACCCAUAACUGCAAUCCAAAAAAGGAUACAAGUGUAUUUCCUGCAAAGUCAUCACUGGAACUUACAGCAUUUAUCAACAUACUAAGAGGCAAAAAUAUGAACUAACUCCAAUAACCAAUGCCCACAUUGUUAAGCAUCUAUACACCUUCGUAGUGUUUCGAACAUAUACAUGCAUAUAUUAUACUAAAGAACAGAGUACAAGAAAUCUACCUAAUAUCCAUAUCCCUGAAGGACUUGUGUGCUUUUGGUUCAUCUAAAACUAUGCGCUGGCUG
rnacentral:misc_RNA from 1 species